rnacentral:lncRNA from 1 species
GUUAUGAAUGUGGACAGCAAGGUCACAUAAAGACGGACUGCCCAAAACUUGCAAAGAAAGGAGGAUUCAAAGGCAAGAAGGAAUUCAAAAACAAAAAGGCUUACGUCGCUUGGGACGAUAAUAAGAUCAGUUCAUCUUCGGAAUCGGAAAGAGAUGAAUGUGCGAACAUGGCUCUUAUGGCUUCACAUCACUCCGAUGAAGAAAUCGAUGAGGUGAGUAGCAAUUUUUCAGUUUAUGACAAUGAUGCACAAGAUGUUAUAAAUGAAAUCUUAAAAGAAUGCAAGACAUUGUAUAAAAUUAUUUCAUCCCAAAAGAAACAAAUUUCAUCCUUAGAAGAAAAAAAUACUGCCUUGGAAAAAUAUAUUGAAAGUGGAAAACAAAAGUUGAUGGAUGAAAAACAAAGUCUUGCAUGUAAGAAUUGUGAAUCUUUAUCUUUUCAAAUUGUUCAACUUAAAAGAGUUUUAGAAAGAUAUGAAAAAGGUCAAAUUGGGUUGGAAGAAAUUCUUAAACACCAAAGGUAUUCUAAUGACAAAAGUGGAUUAGGAUAUUCUAAGUUUUCUAAACCAAGCACAAAUAAGACCAUUUUUGUUAAAGCAAGUGAACAAGUUGCUAAAGAGAAAGUAAACAAUUCUAAAAUUAUGCAUCAAAGUCAUAAAAAGAAAAUGAUUGCUAAGAAGAAGAAUUAUGUUCCUAGAUAUAGAAGUAAUUUUCAACCUACUUGCUUUUAUUGUGGAAUCAAAGGGCACACACCUAAUGCUUGUUAUGUGCGAAACUUUAGCGUUCCAACAGGGCAUUAUGUGUGGGUUAAAAAGGGUACUAACUACCAAGGACCCAAAGCAAUUUGGGUACCUAACAAAACUUGAUUUUGUUUUGUAGGUAUGCUUGAAGACAACCUCGAAUCAAUGGUAUCUUGAUAGCGGUUGUUCAAAGCAUAUGACGGGCGACAUCGACAAAUUUUCACAUCUAUCUUUAAAGGCCAAAGGAUAUGUUACAUACGGUGAUGACACCAAAGGGAAGAUCCUUGGAGUAGGAACCAUUGGAGCACCUCCUGUUACCAUCAUCGAAGAUGUCCUUUAUGUUGAAGGCCUAAAGCACAAUUUACUAAGUAUAAGUCAAUUGUGUGACAAAGGGUUCCGAAUCAAUUUCACAAAAGAUGAAUGUGUGAUAGAGCAUGAAGUCACCCAUGACAUCUUGCUAAAAGGUAAAAGGGUUAAUAAUAUUUUUAUGACUUCUUUUGAUGAUUCUUCCUUGAAGGUAAAAUGCCUAAUGACGAACAACAACGAGGCUUGGCUAUGGCAUAAAAGAUUCGCUCAUAUACACAUGGAGCACAUGAACAAAUUAAUAAAGCAUGAUCUUGUCGUUGGUCUUCCAAAGAUUAAGUUCAUCAAGGAUAAGCUGUGUGACGCAUGCCAAAAGGGAAAGCAAACCAAGACAACUUUCAAAUCCAAGAAUGUUGUAUCUUCAUCGAGGCCACUUCAACUCUUGCACAUGGAUCUCUUCGGUCCAUCAAGAACGAAAAGUUUCGGAGGUAAUGUUUACGGUUUGGUAAUUGUUGAUGAUUUCUCUAGAUAUACGUGGACUUUGUUUCUUGUGCAGAAAAGCGAUGCUUUCAAGGCUUUCAAAAAAUAUGCAAAACAAAUUCAGAAUGAGAAGUCUCUUUCAAUAAUCUCCAUUAGAAGUGACCACGGGGGAGAAUUUCAAAACACAUUCUUUGAAGAAUUUUGCGAAAAACACGGAAUUUCCCACAACUUCUCCGCACCACGAACACCACAACAAAACGGUGUCGUAGAGAGAAAGAAUAGAUCCUUGGUGGAACUCGCAAGAACAAUGCUCAGUGACUCCAACCUUCCUAAAUAUUUUUGGGCGGACGCAGUUAGCACAGCAUGCUUUGUUAGCAACCGUGUCAACAUUCGGCCGAUUCUCAAAAAGACUCCGUAUGAGCUUUUCAAAGGAAGGAAACCUAAUAUAUCCUUCUUUCACAUCUUUGGGUGCAAAUGUUUUGUCCUCAACAAUGGAAAGGACAAUCUUGGUAAGUUUGAUGAGAAAUCCGACGAAGGUAUCUUCCUUGGCUACUCCCUUUCUAGUAAGGCUUUUAGAAUUUUCAAUAAAAGAACUCUUACUAUUGAAGAAUCAACGCAUGUAUGUUUUGAUGAAACUAACCCCUCGAAAGAGGAUAACCUUGUUGUUGAUGACGAUGAUGAUAUAAUAGAUGUAUCACAAAAGGAACUUUCAAAUGUUCAAUCAAUUCCACAAGGAGAUGGCUCACCAAUCAUUGAAGAACAUCAUGAUCUACCGAAAGAAUGGAAAACUCAUAGAGAUCACCCCAUCGAUAAAGUUAUUGGUGAUAUUAGCCAAGGCGUUGCAACACGACUAAAUCUCAAAGAUGCUUGUCUCAACAUGGCUUUUGUGUCUCAAAUAGAACCAACCAAAGUCGAUGAAGCCUUAGGCGACGAUCAAUGGAUAGUAGCAAUGCAAGAAGAACUCAACCAAUUCGAAAGAAAUCAAGUUUGGAGUCUUGUACCAAGACCGGACAACAAGCACAUCAUUGGAACAAGAUGGGUCUUCAAGAACAAACUUGAUGAGAAUGGGAUCAUAGUUCGUAACAAAGCAAGAUUGGUCGCACAAGGAUACAACCAACAGGAAGGAAUUGAUUUUGAUGAGACGUUCGCUCCGGUAGCAAGGUUAGAAGCAAUUCGAUUAUUACUUGCUUUUGCUUGUUCUAUGAACUUUCAAUUGUUUCAGAUGGAUGUCAAAAGCGCUUUCCUAAAUGGCUAUAUCAAUGAAGAAGUCUACGUCAAACAACCUCCGGGUUUUGAAGACUUCAAGAACCCCUCACAUGUUUACAAGUUGAAGAAAGCACUAUAUGGUUUAAAGCAAGCACCGAGAGCGUGGUAUGACCGCCUCAGCAACUUUCUAUGUGAAAAGGGAUUUGUAAAAGGAAAGGUUGACAAGACUCUGUUCAUAAAGAAGAUCAAGGGUAACACCUUAUUGGCUCAAGUCUAUGUCGACGACAUCAUCUUCGGUUCAACAAAUAAAGAUCUUUGCGAAGAGUUUUCAACCAUGAUGCAAGGAGAAUUCGAGAUGUCCAUGAUGGGAAAAUUGAACUAUUUUCUUGGACUACAAAUCAAGCAAACCAAGGAUGGCAUCUUCAUCAACCAAUCCAAGUAUUGCAAGGAAUUAUUGAAAAGAUUUGAUAUGGAUAGUUGCAAAGUGAUGUCCACUCCUAUGGGAUCCGGAACGUACGUUGAUCAAGAUGAAUCCGGAAUGUCAAUAGAUAUUACAAAAUAUCGAGGUAUGAUUGGUUCAUUACUAUAUUUGACGGCAAGCCGUCCUGACAUUAUGUUUAGUGUAUGUUUGUGUGCACGCUUUCAAGCAAACCCGAAGGAAUCGCAUCUCACCGCCGUGAAGAGGAUUAUGAAAUAUCUCAAAGGAACAACGAACGUCGGACUAUGGUAUCCAAAAGGUAGUAUAUGCUCCUUGAUUGGUUAUUCUGAUGCUGACUAUGCAGGCUGUAAGACCGAUAGAAAAAGCACAAGUGGUACCUGUCACAUUCUCGGGAAUGCACUAGUGUCGUGGGCAUGCAAGAAGCAAGCAUGUGUCGCACUUAGCACGGCCGAAGCAGAGUACAUUGCAGCAGGCAGUUGUUGUGCACAAAUUUUAUGGCUUAAGCAACAACUUCUGGAUUUUGGUGUAGACCUCGGCUGCAUUCCUCUUCGAUGCGAUAACACAAGUGCCAUCAACAUCACAAAGAACCCGGUCAUGCAUUCAAGGACAAAGCACAUAGAUAUCCGACAUCAUUUCCUUCGAGAUCACGUGCUUAACGGAGAUGUAGAUGUUACGUUCGUGGAUACACAUAACCAACUCGCCGACAUAUUCACAAAACCAUUGGCUAAAGAGCAAUUCUUCAAGAUUCGGCGAGAACUUGGUAUUCUCAAUGAAGGUGACAUCUAACCUUGUCUUCAAAUUACUUGUUAUGUGGUAUAGUUGCUAAAAAUGUGUUUACUUUCAGUUUUUAUGUUAUGCAAUGCUAGCACUUCUUUUUCGCCGUUUUCCGUUUUUCUUACUUUCGCAUGUCCAAAUAUUAUCCGUUUUAAAAUAUUUUUAAAUCGAAAGUUGCGUAUUGAUAAGUGCUAACACUUUGUGCAAAAAUUUUGAAAAGAUCUUUUCCCGAUUCUUCCAAACGGAGCUGCUGUUUUUUUUCUACUUUUUGAAAAAUUCAGUCCGUUAACCGGUUAACGGUAUAGGUUAACCGGUUAACACCUUCCAACAACAACUCUGUUUUUCGUUUUUAAAUACAACAUUUUUAAAUUAAUUGUUUUAUUUUUAUUACGUGUGUUUAUGUUCAAUGCAUGUGCUUUACUCUUCCACCUUCUCCUCAUAACUCUCUCCUCCCUCAUUACUCUCCAUAAACCCUUCAUCUCUUUAUAUUCAACUUUCAUAACUCUCAAACCCCUUUUCCGAAAAUCCAUCUCUAAACCCUAGAAUCUUCAUCUUCUUCAUGGCUCCACCAAGAAUGGGAAAGGCUCCUGUAUCAUCAUCUAGCAGUGAAGAGGAAGAGUUGAAAAUGGAAACCGCCAAGAAAAGGAGGAUGGAUUUCAAAGUCAGGGUUAGACAUCUGCUUAAGGGUAAGUAUGUGAAUCUCAAAUCCUUCACUACUUUCUCUUUCCCUGAGUUGUUGAGAUACCAAGGAUUGCAUGCGUUCAUCACUGAUAAUGGGAAAAUUUACACUGAUUUGGUAAAAUCUUUUCUGAAUCAUUUUACUUUAAAUCUGAAUGAUGAUGAACAACACAUGCUGUCUGCAACUGUAAGAGACUCUGAAAUUGUUACAGACCUUAGGACGUUGGCUGCGUCUCUUAAGAUUCCAUAUUCUGGUUUUUUCCUUCGGAAAGGUGUUAAUCAUGAGGAAGGAAAAUGGGCUCAGUAUGAUAAGAUGGAAUACUACUACUCUAUCUGCAGAUUUCCCAGGGAGGUUGUUAUGUCGGGACAGCGCACUUCUCGCAUACUCUGCUAUGCUAAGAAUCUGUCGGUUGACGAUCGUAUGCUGCAUUAUGUUAUCUGCCAUGUCCUGCUGCCCAAGGAUUCCAACCUGUCUCAAAUCAAUGAUUUGGAAAUGCAAGUUCUGUUUGCAGUGAAGAACAAAAUCCGAGUUAAUUGGCUGCCCACUAUGAUGUAUCAUCUGAGACAGCAACUUUCUCUCAAAACAAGGCUGCCAUACGGUCGCCUUAUCUCAAGGAUUUUGGAACUCACAGAUAUGGAAAUCGGGAGAGAACCGUUUUUGGCUAUGACCACUACCGCCAAUGAAAUCAACGGCGUUACCAUCAUGAAAAAUACUGGAAUUAUUCAAAGCAACGACGGCUCCUACAAAUAUGAUGAUGGGUCCUCCUCUUCAAACUUCCCUAUUCCGGAAGGUGGCAUUACCAAUGAGUUUCUCUAUACUACCAUGAUGAGCCACCACCGUGAAACCACCCGUGCUAUCAAGAGUCUUCGGAACCUAGUGUUGAGUUCCCGCAACCUUCCUGUAGAAGAUGAUGAAGGUGAAGACGGUAGUGAAGCGGAUGGCGAGGAGGAUGAGGCCGGUUCGGAAGAAGAAUAGAGCACUAUGUUUUUUUUUCUAUGUUUCUGUUAUAUGUUGUUCUAAUAUUUUUGUUGUUAAACUAUGUUUAUGCUAUUUAUGUUUACCAAACACUUAACUUUUAAUCCAUAGUUAUUUUGUCAUAAUAUGUGAUUCAAUGUGUGUAUGCUUGUAUACUUGUUUUUUUUUUAGGUCUCUUCCUUUUUGCUAAUGACAAAGGGGGAGAAGACUUGUUUCUCUAAUGGUUUUCUAUGCAGAAUUAUUGUAUGCCUCUCAUUUAGGGGGAGUUCUUAAAUUUAGGGGGAGAAUCAACUUAGAGAAACUUCACUUUCAUGCAUCUAUUUNAGACGUUACGUUGUUUGAAUCGUGGGACAGCCAAGUCACAUAAAGAACGGACUGCCAAAACUUGCAAACGAAAAGGAGGAUCUCAAAGGCAAAAGGGAAUUCAAAAAACAAAGCUCUACGUCGCUUGGGACGCUAAUAAGAUCCGUUCAAUUCUCUCCGGAAUCGCAGAAAGAAGCCAUGAGAUGUCAGCGAAACAUGACUCACUUCAUGGACUUCACAUCCACUCCGCGAUGAAAGAACUCAGAGAGAGGAAGUAGCAUAUUUUCACAGACUUCUAACUGACAAUUGCAUGCCAACGAUGUUAAAUAAUGAAAACUCUCUAAGCACAGAACACUGCAAAGACCGAAUGUUAUAAAUAUUAUCAAUCCAAAAGAACCACAAUUGUUCACAUCCUUAGAAGAAAAAAAUACUCGCCUCCUGGAAAAUAUAUUGAAGUGGAAACACAAGUUGAUGGAUGAACAAACCCAAGAGUCUUGCAUGUAAGAAUUGUGAACUCUUUACUACUUUCAAAUUGUUCACUACAAAGAGUUUCGAAAUAUGAAAAGGCCCCAAUUGGGUUGGAAAAUUCUUCUUAACACAAGGAUAUUUCAAUGACAAGAGUGCUUAAAGACCUUUCUAACUAUUUCUAACCAGACACAAUAAGACCAUUUUUGUUUAAGCAAAGAUGCAACAUUGCCAAGGGCGCAAAGUUACCAACAAUUCUCAAAUUAAUGCAUCAAAGAUCACUAAAGAAAUAUGCUCAAGCAGAAGACAGAUUAAUGUUCCCUAGAUAUAGACAGUAUUUUCCAAGCCUAUUGCUUUCUAAUGUGAAAUCAAAGGGCACACCUAAUGCUUAGUUAUGUGCGAACGCCGUCUGCGUAUCAACAGCAGGAAUAUGUAGUGGGUUAAAAGAGUAUACUACACAAGGACCCAAAAGCAACCUAUGGGUACCUACCCACAAAACACUUGAUUUUGUAUUUCGUAGGUAUGCUGAAGCACUCGAAUCCAAUGGAUAUCUUUCGAUACGCGGUUGUUCAGCACUAUGCGAGCGACAUCGGACAAUUCUUCCACUAUCUUUAAGCAAAGGAUUAUUACAUUCACGGUACGAUGACACAAGGCAGCAUCUUCGGACGUAGGAACCCAUUGGAGCAACUCCUGUUGACCUCAUCGAGAAUGACACCUGUAUGUGAAGGCCUAACCACAAUUUACUCAAGCUAUAGUUCAAUUGUGUGACCAAAGAGGUUCGAAUCAAUUCUCACAAAAGAUGAAUGGUGAACUAGAGACAUGAAGUCACACUCAUGAAAUCCCUUGACUCAAAAGGCUCAAAAGGCGAUUAAUAUACUUUUAUGACUUCUUUUGAUGAUUCUUCACUUGAGGCUAAUGCACCUAUAGAACGAACCCAACCGGCUUUGGCCGGCUAUGGCAUAAAGAUCGCUCUUCACACAUGGAGCACCUGACAACUUAAUAACAGGAUCUUGUCGUCUGGUCUUCCAAAGAUAUAAGUUCAUCCAAGGAAGUUGCAAACCUGUGACACCUGCCAAAGGGCAAAGGCAAACCAGCACGCACUUUCAAAAUCCCAAGAUGUUGUGUCCCUUCCGCGUACAACGACGGCACUUCACUCUUGCACAUGGAAUCCUACUUCGGUCAUCAGAACGAAAAAGUCUCGCGGACCGUAAAAUGUUAGAACGGAUCUAGAAGGUAAUUGUUGCAUGACUUCUCUAGAUUACGUGCGACUUUGUUUCUUGUGCCACGCAACAAGCGCGUUUGCUCUUCAGGCGUUCAAAAAAUAUGCAAAACAAAUUCACGCACAUGAGAAGUCUCUUUCAUAUUUCCAUUAUAGAAGCUGACCACGGGAGAAUUUCAAAAACAUUCUCUUGAAAAUUUUUGCGAAGCACGAAUUUAUCAUAUAUCCGCACCACGAACAACACAACCAACAACCCGGUGUCGUAAGAGAGCAAAGACAUAGUCCUUGGGCGAACUCGACAAAGAACAGAUGCUCCAGUGACUCCAACCUUCCCUAAAUUUUCGUGGGCGAGCACCGCAACGCUUACGCAAGCUGCUUUGUCUAGCAACGUUGUUUCACAUUCGAACCGAUUCUCAAAAACUCCGUAUGAGCCUUUUCAAGGAAGGCACCUCAAUAUAUCAACUUCUUUUCACAUCUUGAGGUGCACCACUGUCAGCUUUGUCACUCAACAUUGGAAGGACAAUUUCGUAAGUUUCGAUGAGAAUCGCGCCGAAGGUAGCUUCCUUGAAGCAUACUCCCUUUAUCAGGCUUCUUAGGAAUUUUCUAAAAGAAAUUUACUAUAAGAUCAACGAUGUAUGUCUUUGAUCAACUUACCUCGAAAGAGGCAUAACCUUGUUGUUGAUGACACAUGAUGGACAUAAAGAGGCUAUCAAAGGGAACUGCAUCAAAUGUUCAACUCCAUUCUACAAGGAGGGGGAAGGCGGAUCACAAUCAUUGAGAUUCCAUGCUCUACCGAAGAGUAGGAGACUCAUAGAGAUCACCCAUUGAUAAAGUUUAAUUAGUGCAUAUUAGCAAGGCGUCCUCUGCAACACGACUCAGAAUCUCACAAGUGCUUGUCUCACACAUGGCUUUGUGUCUAAAUAAACCACCAAAGGUCGAUUGAGCAUUAGGCGACCAUCACAUGCGAUUAGUAGCAAUGCAAGAAGAAUCACAAUUCGAAAGAAACUCAGUUUGCGUAUCCGUUACCAACGACCAAGACAACCAGACAUCAUUGAACAGAUGCGUCGUCAAGACAACUUGCAUUUCGAGGUUCAUAGGGAACACAACCAAAACCAAACGGGGGAACAUAUGGACUAUGUUACGGUUACAAAGCGAGAUUCGGUCGCACAAGCUACAACAGACGAAGGAAAUUGAUUUUGAUGAGAACCGUUCGUCAACCAGGUAGCAAAGUUAGAGGCAAGGUCGAUUUUACUUCUGUUUGCAUUGGUUUAUGCAACUUUCAAUUGUUUUCGAUGAUGUCAGAGCGCUUCCUAAUGGCAAUAUAUCAUGCAGAAGUGCUACGUCAAACACCUCCGGGUUUGACCGACUUCAGAACCUUCCAUGUUUUACGUUUGAGAAAGCACUAUAUGGUUUAAAGCAAGCACCCGAGAGCGUCGGAUAUGAACCGCGACUCAGCAAAACUUUCUAUUGCAAGGGAGUUUGGUAAAGGAAAGCGUUGACAAGUUUGAUUUACAUAAGGAUCAAGGGUAAACUUAUUGGCGCAGUCUAUGUCGACGCAUCAUUCUUCGGUUCACCAAAUAAAGAUUCUUUGCGAAGAGUUUUUUCACCAAUGAUUGCAAGGAGCAAUUCGAGAAUGUCCAAUGACUGGGAAAUUGCAACUAUCUUUCGUGGACUACAAAAUCAGCAAACAGGGUGCCAUCUUCAUCACCAUCAAGUAUGCAAGGAAUUAUUUGAAAGAUUCGAUAUGGUAGUAUGCCAUGUAUGUCCACUCCUAGGGAUCCGGAACGUACGUUUGAUCAAGCUGAAUCCGGAAUGUCAAUGAUAUACCAAUAUCCGAGGUAUAUUGGUUUCAUACUAUAUUUUGCGCAGUGGACCUGACCUAUAUGUUUAGUGCUAAAUGUUUGUGUGCACGCUUUCAAGCACAACCCGAAGGAUCGCAUCUCCACGCCGUGAGGAUUAUGAAAUAUAUCACAAGGGAACACACGAACGUGGGAUAUGGUAUCCAAAGGUUAGUAGUAUGCUCUUGAUUGGUUAUUUUGCAUGUGCGUAUGCGCCUUAAAGACCGAUCGAAAGCAGUAGGACCUGUCACAUAUUCGAAUGCACUAGUGUCCGUGGGCAUGCAAGAGCAGAUGUGUCGAUUAGCCGGCCGAAGAGACACAGUGAGCAGCAGUGGAUUGUGCCACAAUCUCUUCCUGGCAUCACGCACACACUUCUGGAUCUUUGUUAGCUCGCUGCGAUUCUCUUCGAAUGCCGAUAACACAAGUGCUAUCACUCCAAGAACCGGUCUGACUUCAAGACGGAGCAAUACAGCUUCCGACAUUCAUUUCCCUCCAGAUCGUGCUUAACGGAGUGUAGAGUUACGUCUGGAUACACCUACAACUCAAGCUGACAUAUUCCAAACACAUUGCGCUAAGCAGCAAUUCUUCAGGAUUCCUCCGAGAUUGGAUUACUCAUGAAGGUGCAUCUAACUUGCUUCAAAUUACUUGUUAUGUGGCAUAGUUGCCUAAAAAUGUGUUUUCUUCAGUUCUUUAGUUUAUGCUGCUACAGCAUUCUUUUUCGCGUUUUCCGUUUUCUUACUUUGCAUGAUACCAAAUAUUAUCGUUUAAACAUAUGUUUAACUCGAAGGUUGCGUUUGAUAAGUGCGAACACUGUGUGCAAAAUUUUGCAAAGAUCUUCGAUUUCACACGGAGCUGCUGUUUUUUUUCUACUGUUUUGACAAUAUUCGUCGGUUACGGUUACGGUAUUAGGCAGCCGCAGUUAACACCUCCAUCCCACAACAACUCUGUUCUUCGUUUUAACGGAAAUUUUUAAAUUAUUGUUUUAAUUUUCUGUUGUGUGAUUUAUGUUAAUGCCAUGUGCCUUUACUAUUCCCUUCUCCUUCAUAACUCUCUCCUCCCUUCAUUACUCUCCAUAACCCUUCAUUCUUUAUUUCACCUUCAUACAACUUUCAAACCCCUUUUCGAAAUCCAUCUCAUAAACCCUAGAAUCUUCAUUUUUCUGGCUCACAAGUGGGACAAGGCUCCUGUAUCUUUCAUCUUCCAGCAGUGAAUGAGGAGAGUUGAAUGGAAACGCCAGAAAGCGAGGAUGGAUUCAAAGUCAGAGGUGGAUCUGUUAAAGCGGUAAGUAUGUUGAAUCUCAAUACCAUUCAUACUUUUUUCACUGAGUUGAUUGAGAAUCUCAAGAUGUGCCAUGAGUUUAACUGAUAAUGGGAAAUUUCAGCUGUUUGUAAAAUCUUUUCUGAACCAUUUUACUUUAAAUUGAAAUGUAUGAUGAACUACACAUGCUGUCGGCACCUGUAAGAGACUCGUGGAAAUUGUACAGACCUAAAAGGACGUUGGCUUUGGCGGGGCGGGCUUUUAUUCUCUAUUAGAUUCCAUAUUCAGGCUACGUUUCCUUCAGGAAGUGUUAUCGUGAUGGGAAAUGGGCUCAGUAUGGUAAGAGGGAUAUAACUACUCUAUCUGCGAUUCCAGGGCAAGGUUGUUACUGUCGGGAAACGCACUUCUCGCCCACUCUGCAUAUGGCUUAGAAUUCUGUCGGAUUGCACGCAUGAAUAUGCGUGGCAUUUAUGUUAUCUGCCAUGUCCUGCUCGCCCAAGGUUCAACCUGUCUCAUCAAUUGUUUGGAUUGCAAGUUCUGUUUAGCAGUGAGAACACGAACUCCGGACGUUACAUAGGCUGCCACUAUGAAUCGUUUAUCUGAGACAGCACUUUCUCUCUCCAAACAAGCUUGCAUCGUCGCCUUAUCUUCAGGAUUUGUGGAACUCACAGCAUAUGGGAAAUCGGGGAGAGAAGUUUCUUCGAUUCAUGACCACUAAACCGCAAUGACAGCACAGGCGGCUUACAUCAUGAAAUACUGAAUUAUUCACAGCAACGACAGGCUCCUACAAAUAUGAUGACUGGGUCCUCCUCUUCAACUUCCCUAUUUCCGCAGUGGCCCAUGACCAAAUGCAGUUAUCAUCUUACUACCAAUCAUGAGCCACACGUGAAACCACCCGUGCUAUCAGCAGUCUUCGGCAGCUAAUGAUGAGUUCCGCAACCUUCACUGGGUGAGUGCUAUAGGUGAGAGACGUUAGUGAAAGCGAGGGAUGCGCGGAGGAUGAGGCGGUCUCGUAGAAAGCAUAGAGACACUAUGUUUUUUCUCUUCUUGUUUCUAGUUAUAUGUUCAGUUCUUAAUAAUUUUAUGUAUGUAUACUAUGUUCUAUGCUAAUUUAUGUUUACCAACACUUAACCCUUUUACAUCCAUAGUAUAUUUGGUAACAUAAUAGUGAUUCAAAAUCGUGAUGUAUGCUCUAAUACUAUUGUUUUUUCUUUUAAACGUCUUUCGUUAUUUGCUAAUGACACCAACGAGGAAAGACUGUCUUCUCUCAUGCGUUUCUAUGCAACAAUUAAUUGUAAUGCCUCUCACUUUCAGGGGAGCAAGUUUAAAUUUAGGGAGAGAAUCAAACUUAGCAGAACUUCGCUUUCAUAGAGCACUCUAUUUUCAAAGUGCAGGGGUAUCAUCAAAGGGGAGAUUGUAGAAGCAAGCUUCAAAUCAAAGAUUAUUUUGAUGGAGACACUUGAUCAAUGCAAAGGAGAUGAGCUUACAAAGUUAUUUCAAGCAUCAGUUUCAAGCGCUAUGCUUUUGUCAGCCUUCAUUUUCAAGUCACGUUUAGCAGCUUGUUGAUUCAUUUUCUGGUUAUCUAACUCACUUUUGAAUAGAAUUAGCAUAGUGUUCCAAACCAUGAUCUGAACUUUGCAUCUUUUACAACUAACAUUGUUACACCUCUGAAUGCACGAACAUUUAUUUUUAGUUAUUCUGCAAUCAUUACCGUGCUAACGGUUAACCUAUGGGGUUAACCGGUUAACGCCAGUUUUUUCAAAUUCUUUGUUAAUGUUUGCACUGCAGUUCGACGUUAACCCUAUGGUGUACGCUGUACAUGUCGUGUACCUGCAAAUCCAUGUUUUGAACUUAGUAUCUUUUUCAAUGGUCAUGAGGGAAUGAUACUCUUUGAAGGAUUUGUUGUGGCAUUAAUUAUAAUUUUUCACAUGAUAAUUUGACGUCAGACAUUUUCAUACAACUCUCAAUAUAAUCUCUCAUGCAUAUUUCCUUCCGUAUCAUAACAUUUUUGGAAGGUUCAUAUAAAAUUGUCAUCUCAUUCUUUGUUGAACACUUGACUAUAUUCUUUUGAGCGUGACUUAUUUAUCUAGGGCAUAUCAGAGAGGAUUGAUAAACUACAUCUUUGGAUAAAUCAUUUAGAUUACUUUAUGUUUGACUUUGUUGCAUGGAUUUGUUGGCACAAGGGUUGUGUCGUUUGAAGAGACUUGUGGUCUCAACGUUGUUUGUUAAUAGGUUAGAUGCUAGGCAUCCAGACGUUUGUGUGAUAGGGCUGUUACCAUUACUCUACUAUAGUUGAUUUCUCUUUCGUGUGAAAGGGAGUGGAUGUACUUCGAUUGUGAGGACACACUAUAAUUAUUCCGGUGUCGUUACUUUCCGACAUUUUUAUUUUUCCGCACUUUAACAAAAAUCAAACGGAAAGUAGCUCGAAGAAUCAUUUUCAUCACCUACAUUCACCCCGCCCCCCCCCCUCUUAGGCGCAUUUACAACUUACAGUAUAUUGUUGAAUAAAACCUUGCUGAUGAUGUAAGGCAUUGUUUCAAAUCCCAAACACCAAAGAUAUAAGGAAGAUAAUCCCUAGUCAACCCCUUCGAGCCAAGGAGUAGGAGUUUCUUUCUAAAUAUGAAACCCUUAAUUUUAAACCGGGGCAGGGUAGUCGUCAGUUAGUUUGACCAUGCGUUCAAAUUCCAAAGAUAAAAAGAGGAGUGUCAUAUCUGAGGAUCGACCAUAUCUUAUCCCUCACAAGAGGUCGGAAACCCCCAAAUUCCAAAUGGUUGUCCCUCACCAACAAAGGAAUGAGGCAGUCAUAACCCUUCCCAAUCAAACGGCAAAAUGCCACAUGAAUUGUUUCAACAAAAGAAACAAGAAAAAAAAAAGCCCGCUAAUUCAAAAACUUGAAAAUGAGUGACUUAGGAAAAAGUUAGGGCACCCCUGUGGAUUGUAAAUCUGAACCAAUCCAGCAAAAAUAGGGAAAUGAAAAAAUGAAACAGAAUGAGGAAUCAAAAGAGGAUCCUCAACAAGAACAAAUUAGUGUGGCUAUAAACCAAAUAGAAGGUGCAUGAUUGCCACUCCAAAAAGAAAAAACCUCGUAGGUUCCUUUUCACUCCCAAAUCCCUUUUGGAAUAAGAGAGCUUGUAUCAAACUAGCUGAACGUAGGACUGGAGAACAUCAAGAAGAGUGGGUGGGUUAGGAUAGGUUUGAGUCUUACAUCCUUUCUUUCUGAAACCGUGAACCAUACCACUUUACAACCCUCAAAAGACCUAAUUGAAGCAAGGUUUAUUUCUAAAGCAUACCAUGGUUAGAAUAACCGUGUUAAAAUUGACUCCUUAAUGAUUUGUUCAUCAUUUAUGUUGAUAUUGAUAUGACAUUCUUAAUCAGUGAUGCAUUCAUUGUAUGUCAUAAUUCCAGUGAACACGCUUGGAUUUCAAAACUAGCAUAAACAUGACAUUGCUAUUAUCAUUUCCAAAAAUGAACAUGUGUUACUCAUGAGUGAGCAUCUGAUGUCAAGAGAGUUUUCAUAAUGAACGUGAAUUGGAAAGCUUGAUACCACCAAAAAAGAAGGAUGCCUAAAAGACUUUGUUAAGUAGAGGCAAAUUAUUUCAACUGAUUGAAUCAUAAGACAGAACACCUGAGAACCCCAUUCAGAAGAGACAGGUUACCUUGAUUCGAUCGUACUCAGAGAGAUAAACACCUAAGACGCUGUUGAGCAGCACCAAAUUAUUUUGAUUGAUGACAAUGAGUGUUGAAAGCCUGAGACUCCGUUGAUUAACAAUCGGUCACUUCUUUUGAUUAUAUCAAGGAGCAAAAUGUCCAAGGAACUCCGUUGAGCAGAAGGACAAGAUGUUUCAUAUUUCAAUCAAUCUGAGACAGUUACGUCAAGAAAUUUCAACAAGACUCAGUUAGUCUGAGAAAGUUAUGUCGAGAUUCAGUGAAUCUUUCCAAAGAUCAGAUAGUCAGGGGGUAAACUAUCCCAGUUGAUCGCAUCAGAAGACUAAACACCUAAGAACUCCGCCGAGCAGGGGAAAAUUGUUUUGAUUGAUCCUAUCAAGUGUUGAACGCCUGAGAUUCCACUGAGCAACGACCAGUCACGUCAUGUGAUUACAUCAAGAAGCAGAAUGUCUAAGAACUCUGUUAAGUAGAAAGAUAAGACACUUCAAUUUUCGGUCAAUCUGAAGCAAUCACGUCAAUAAAUCUCUAUAAGAUUCAGUUGAUCUAAGGAAGUUACGUUGAGAUUCAAAAAAUCUCUACAAGACAUUAGUUAAGGGCAUUCCCUCAGAGAUAUUCUAGCCAGGGGAAAAUUUAUUCCAAAACCUAUACUGGGGAAAGUUACCUCAGGAACCCAAGAAGUCAAUCUUCCGAGAUAGUUAAUCAAAGAUAUACAGUUCCAAGAAACUGGGGCAGGUCAGAUCGAGAUAGUUAUUAUGACAAAGCUGCUUUACAACUUAUUAUUGGGGCAAUACAUGCAGAUUCCCACUUGACUGGGGCAUGAAUGGCUAGAGAAGAAAGAUUCUUUAUAUACUUUUGAGGCUGUUCAGAGCAAGAUCUAUGGUGCAUAAGAGACUUCUAAGUUCGAGAUGAAUGUUGGGGAGUCACGCUAAACACAUCCCCUAACCUUUCAACAGAGAACCAUGAUCAUAAAUGAUAAACCCAAUGGUUAUUGGUACCCUGUGUUCUUAAUCUCCAGAUAUUUCCUACCAUACCGUCUAACCAAAAUCCUGACCAUGCAUCAACAUCUGGCAUAAGUAAUCAUGCAUUACAUAACAUUGCAUCAUAAAGCGCGUAGCAUAUUCCAUCAAGAUGGAGCAUUACCCCUUGCAAAAUAAACAUGCAUAUCUGCAUAAAAGUCCUUCUCGAAAGUGUAAAAGAAUCCUCUGAUAAGAUAUUCUUCCUCCCCAGUUGAGAACAUCGUCAUGAAACUUGGGAUUGGUAUUCCCCACAGGUUUCUCGAAGUCUCUCCUUUGCAAAUACCUUAGGAAUCUUCAAUCAGUCGUUUACCUUUCGUAAGUGAUCCCCUACCUUUUUCCUGGGAGGUCCUCUUUCCUUCUUUUAAUACUCUUUCGUAUUGAUUUGCAACACUCGUCCGUGUUAAUCAUCUCUUUUUCAAUACUCGUCCGUAUUGAUCUUCAACACUCGUUUGUGUUAAUCGUUUCAUUUUCGAUACUCAUCCGUAUUGAUCUCCAACACUCGUCCAUGUUGUUACAUUCCUUCAAUACCCGUUUGUAUUGAUCUUCAACACUCGUCCGUGUUAAUCAUUUCAUUUUCGAUACUCGUCUGUAUUGACCUCCAACACUCGUCUAUGUUGAUACCUUCUUUUUCAAUACUCGUCCGUAUUAAUCUUCAACACUCGUCCGCGUUAAUCAUUUAUUUUUCAAUACUCGUCCGUAUUAAUCUUCAACGCUCGUUCGUGUUGUUACUUUCUUUCAAUACUCAUCCGUAUUGGUUUGCAACACUCGUCUGUGUUAAUCAUCUCAUUUUCAAUACUCGUCCGUAUUGAUCUUCAACACUCGUAUGUGUUAAUCAUCUCAUUUUUAAUACUCGUCCGUAUUGAUCUCCAACACUCGUCCAUGUUGUUACCUUCUUUCAAUACUCAUCUGUAUUGACUUGUAACACUCGUCCGUGUUAAUCAUCUCUAUUUCAAUAGUCUUCCGUAUUGAUCGUCAACACUCAUUCGUGUUAAUCAUUCCUUCUUUCAAUACUCGUUCGUAUUGACCCUUAACACUCAUCCGUGUUAAUCAUUACUUCUUCCAAUACCCGUCCGUAUUGAUUUUAAUACUCGUUCGUAUUGAUUUUUAAUACUCGUCCGUAUUGAUUUGCAAUACUCGUCCGUAUUGAGCAUCCACACUCGUCCGUGUUGGUCCUUUGUCAAUACUCGUCAGUAUUGACCUCUAACACCCGUCCGUGUUGAUCUCUUUUACUCGUUUGUAUUGACCUCCAACACCCGUCCGUGUUAAUCAUUUCUUUUUCAAUACUCGUCCAUAUUGAUCUUCGACACUCGUCCAUGUUAAUCAUUUCUUUUUCAAUACUCGUCUGUAUUGGUCUUCAACACUCGUCCGUGUUGUUAAUCAUUUCUUUUUCAAUACUCGUCUGUAUUGAUCUUUGACACUCGUCCGUGUUAAUCAUUUCUUUUUCAAUACUUGUUUGUAUUGAUCUUCAACACUCGUCCGUGUUGUUACCUUUCUUUUUCAAUACUCGUCCGUAUCGAUCUUCGACACUCGUCCGUGUUAAUCAUUUCUUUUUCAAUACUCGUCUGUAUUGAUCUUUAACACUCGUCAGUGUUAAUACCUUCUUUUUCAAUACCUGUCCGUAUUGAUCUUCAACACUCGUCCGUGUUAAUCAUUUAUUUUUCAAUACCCGCCCAUAUUGAUCUUCAACACUCGUCCGUGUUAAUCAUUUCUUUUUCAAUACUCGUUCGUAUUGAUCUGCAACACUCGUCCGUGUUAAUCCUUCCAUUUUCAAUGCUCGUCCAUAUUGAUAUUCGAAACUCGUCCGUGUUAAUCUUUUCUUUUUUGAUACUCAUGCGUAUUGAUGUUCAACGCUCGUUCGUGUUGUUACCUUUUCCUUCGAUACUCGUUCGUGUUGAUCUUCAACAUUCGUCCGUGUUGUCACCUUUCAAUACUCGUCCGUAUUGAUCUCUAACACUCGUCCUUGUUAAUCAUUUCAUUUUCAAUACUUGUCCAUAUUGAUCUCCAACACUCGUCCGUGUUGUUACCUUUUUCCAAUACUCGUCCGUAUUGAUCUGCAACACUCAUCCGUGUUGGCCCUUCCUUUCUGACAUUCACCCGUGUUGAUACCUCAUUUUGAUACUCGUCCGUAUUGGAUUGAUUCACUCGUCCGUGUUAAUCCUCUUUGCAAUACUCGUCCGCAUUGACCUCAACGCUCGUCCGUGUUACUAAACCCCACUUGGUAUUCGUUUGUAGCGGCAUCCAUCAGUCGUAUGUGUGGACCUUACCCUCUUUCUUAACCUUUUGUUCAAAAGACCUCUUUUCCAAUACAGAGGAGCCGCUGCUACCUAUUGUGCGAGAAAAUCGUAUAUCCCCAGCCAACACUUUAUUUGCCUCUGUGAAAUCCUGUGGGAAUACCUCGAUCACCUGUUACAUGCCAAAACAUGACAGGGGAGGCAAGAAAAGAAUGAAAAAGAGAUGAAAACAGAAAAUGAAAAAAGAAAGAAUAAGAAAAAAGAAGAAGCUAAGAGAAAGACGAAAAAAAUAAUCAAUCAUCAAUCAUGCUGCAUUAGCAUAUUGCAUACGUCAUGCAUAUCUAACCUCUCAUUACCCAUCUACCACAUGACAUUCCAAUUCCCAUCAGCUUCCCUGCACAAAGACCUACUUGUUCAUCCCAAAUCCCAGUGAAGGAGUUCUUUGUGACCUAUCUUCACACUUCAUUUGUUCCUGGCGGGAAAAUUUCCUUAUAUUCUAGUAUUUAAUACUCUCAUACCUUCAUUGUCCAAACACCGUUGUUAUCCGUACAUUCAGGUUCGAGAAGAUUAAAUAGGGGCAGCUGUCAUACCCCAAAAUUUGCCUUACCCUUCACAAAGUUCAUUUAGGUCACUAACCCUAGUCAUAUGCAUGUCUUUAUAUCAUUCAUUUCAUCUGCAUAGCCAUUUGUAUGAUACAAAAGGGCAGGUAUCUUAGAUUCUGAGCUUUGUGCUUACACUUGGUGGAAGCUAAGUCUCCUAUACGGAUGAAGGGGGCUUAAUCGAUCAAACCCUAAUCGGAGGUGGCUCUUGAGGUUUAGGUGUAUUCCUAUCAUUGGUAACUCAACUUUGGCUAAGUGGUGAAGCAAAACCCUAAUCUUGGGAUCCUCACUUGAUCAUGGUUUCCACGAACUCUAAUGGUAUACAACGCUCUAUAGAUGGUCUCCAAAACCCUAUCUAUUGGGUCUUUCAUCAUUCCAUUGAGUGUGCCUUUCUCAACAACCUCCUGGUCAGGAGUCGUGCAUGUUGGUUUCUUGGGUUUGAUUCCAUAUAUCACUUGUUUCAAUGUGCAUCUCGUGCUUGUCCGUACCCGGUCAUCCGAUCAUUUGGUCAUUGAACAUUUAAUUUGUAUUCCUUUGUUUCAUUUGGGGUCUUAGUUGAUAUUUAAUUCAUAGGUUGUGUAUGGAUUUUAUCCCGUUAUAUGUCUCGAUUCAUUCCAUUUCAAGUAACCUAGUCAUUUCUUAAGUCAAUUUGCUCAACUAGCCAAUUUCAUUCAUGUUCGUCCAUAAAGAUAGUCAUUACAUUCAAAAAAGGUGCAAAACGAUGUAUAACGUAUUGCAAAACCCAUUUUUGGAAGUUUUCGUUCUGUGAGUCGACACAACACCCACGAGUACGAACAGGUCGACCCACAGAUCGACCUAGUCCUGGGGAAUUUGUAUGCGUUGACUCAUCCAGGCUUUGCAUUGACUCAUUCCUCAUUCUUCUAUAAACCAAUUCACCGCGGGUCCGAGCAGGUCGACUCAUUUCUGGGGAAUCUGGUGUGCAUCGACUCAUCCACCCUUUGCAUCGACUCACUUAUCAUUCUUCUGUGAACCAAUUCGUCGUUGGUCCGAACAGGUCGACCUGGAGCUCGACUCAUCCUGGAGAAUGCUCUAUUUAAGUCGACUCAUCCCCUAUUUGAGUCGACUCAACCUGUUUCUUGCUGCUGAAAUACUGCAAAAUGCAAAUUCUUGCCAUGCCCGCACAAUCACAUUGAUUCACACUCUGCAUUAACUCACAAUUGUGAGUUACUCCAAUAAAUAGCAGGUCAUUAGCCAACAUUAAAGCUUAAUUUCAUUCAAGUUAACCUGCAAUAACCAGUCAUAGAAACCAUUUGAACACAUUCCCCAAAACCAACCAACUAACUUCCAACUUAGUGAGUUAACCGACAAAACUCAUUGAGUUCAUCCCAACUAACUCCCAACCUCUUUUAACUAACUCCAAGCCUUAGGGAUCCCAAGCCUAAUCCCUAUAAAUUCCCAUCUUCACCAUCAUUUGAAGGUCUCUCCACUAUUCACUUCAACUUUCACUACUUUCACAUUUUCUGCAAACAUCACCUUCAACCUUUCUCACUUCAUCUUCCCUAUUUCUUCACCCUACACCAAAGCUCAAACUACCAUUGGAGCAAGCUUCACAUUGAAGCUUGUUAUCAAUUGAGGUAAAACUCUUGUACUCAACAAUCACCCCUGCACUCACCGACUCAACAUCGAUAAUAACGAUCCGGUUCAGAAUUUUUUUGGAGUUGAUUCUUGAAGGAUAAGAGUUCACAGUAGAAGCGGGAGAUCCAAGGUUCAACGUAGCAUACAUCUGUUUUUCUCCUCUUCAUCUUCAUCACUCCCGAAUUUCAACAAGUCCCAAGACAAUCCUCCGUCUUGCAGGUUGGUGAAUCUUUAUCUCUGUCUAACCGUUGAUAUCACCAUGUAGCUUGCAUAGGGGAGAAUCAAAACCCCAAGGUUCGGUGGUUUGAUUCUUCGUCACCUCCAUCUUCAUUAGCUCUAAGAUUUUUUUGCUUAGGAUUCUUGAUGUUAACUGCUUAAUUUCCUGAAUUUGUUGAGCUGUAAUUAAGAUAAAGAUUAGGAUAUGAGAGUUGGAGAUAAGUAAGAAUUUGGAGCCUUUUUCCUUGAAUCCGGCCAACUCCGCCGCCUCUGGCGCGGUGGUGCCGGAACUCCGGUGGUGGUUCUGUUUUACCUUUAUGUUGGGAUUGUUUGACUGGUCCAAGGAGUGUUCACUUCAUACCAUUCAUUGCCAUGUGUAACAUUAACAUGCAUGUUGAUAAAAAAAAUCGUAUUCAUUAUUGGUGGUGAAUUCUUGCUAACUGUGUUGUUUAAGCCUUAGGCUAAGCUACUGUUCAUCUUGAUCACGAUAGCCUCGUAAUUGAUUAGUCGAUUCUAAUUCCAAUUCUAUUCUCGUAAUUGUGUAUGAAAUAGUUUUUAAUUCCUGUUUUUGGGAUUUUGGAGUCACAUAAUUGUAGAGGUAAAUAGCUUAAUUCAUGUUCAAUUAAAUAUUAAGAUUAGGUAAUUAGUUAGGAAUUAGGCUUAAUCAUGUGCAUGUUAGACUAAUUUCUUAAUUUUUCCAAAUAUUGUUUUCACAUGAUCAACCAUUAUAGGCUUAGAAUUUCAUUUGGUUUACGAUGCUAAUUUCCAUGUACAUGAGUAAUCUCACUUUGACUAGAUUACGUUUCAUUUGUGGUUAAGGGCUGAACUGAAAAAUCCAUUUCAUUUUAAGUUCAUAUAGGUUUGUUCAUCAUGAUCAUCAUAUCACACCAUGCUAUUAUCAUACCCUCCCAUUCAUUUGAAUCGGAAUUUUAAUUCCUUCUUAUUUGAUGCAUACUAACCGGUGUUGUUUUGUGGCGACAUGCGAAUAAGAGAUCUCAACACUAUCCAAGUCCCUUUUAUUUUUAUUCGUUAGUUUGUAGUAUGCGAAGUGUCAUGCAACUUGUAUGGUUUAGGCAUGGCACAUGAGUUGUAAAUUGUAUUUUCCUUUCAUGCCUUCAUGUUGUAUUAUGUGGAUCCAUCCCCCCAUUAUGGGUUAAAUGUCCCUCUCCCCCUAGUCAUGUAAUAUCUUAGAUUUACUGCUUUCUAGUUACUUCACCAGGCAUGUUAAUAACCAAGAUAAAAUACAAAACGAUAAACAAAGCAUUUUCGAAAGAAACAAAAGGUACUUGAUUCAACGUCAAGUUUUUUUUUCCGAAUAAAACUCACACCAUUGCAACGCAAACACUCGAUUUGACGCCAAGUAUUCCCCACCCUUUCUUUCCCAUCUUAUCUCCUCAAUCGACCACUAUUUCAAAAUCAAUAAGCAAACCCUUGAUCCAACGUCAAACGGUCCUUUUUCAAAUCAAAUUCAAAAACACAAUAAAUACGAUUAGGAUUGUAUGCCACGAGCCUUAAGUGGUAAAGAAGAGAUGAGAAUGGAACUUUCCUACACUCGUUCUAAAUAGUUCGAACACAAGACGUUUGGCUUGGUAGUUUGAGGUAUUCACCUUUAUCCAUAGUCUUUAGUUCAAUCCGAAAUCAAUAACACUUUCGCAAAACAUAAACACAAUCCAACGCAUUCAAACCUUUUGUUUGAGCCUUAGGGCGACAGAAUCGAAAACCCUUCUUCAAGGUAAUAAAAAUCAACCAACCAAACAAACAUUUUAAACCCACGAACUACGGGGCUCUGAUUUCUCACUUCAACAAGUGGGCAUGCGUAGGCACAAGGAUCCAAAUCCUUGGAGAGCACACAUUUAAAAUCUACCUCCACUCCGCAAACCUUUGGUAAGCAAAGAUUCGAUAAACAACAUCUACGUAAGCGUAAACAUUCAAUAAACAACAUCCAUGUAAGCGCAAACACCCUAGAUGGUUCCUAUGGAGUACCAUAGAUGUAAGGGGUGCUAAUACCUUCCCCUUGCAUAACCGACUUCCAAACUUGUUCGUGGUUGCGAUGACCAUUCUUUGGGGUUUUCUCGAUAUUUUCCCUUUCCUUUGGAAUAAAUAAAAACCGAUGGCGACUCUGUAUUUUUCGCGUAGCGACAAGGGUCAAAUCAGAUAACCACUUCUUUACAAGAUGACCAAGUAAAUGAAGUGGCACAAACUCAGAAGAUGGGAUGGUCAACAAGGGCUAAAACUCAAUCAAUUAGGUUAAUUGACUAUGAAUGAUUUUGUGACCAAACCAUAAAUGAAAAUGGUAACGUGAUUGAAGAAGUAAUGAUAACUGAAUGUGAGCCAAUUAACCUCAAUCAAGACCUGAAAGACAAAAAUUGGCAAGAAGUUAAGAAGGAAGAAGUCAAGGAAAUUUUGGAGUUGGUAAACAACUCAAGCAAGAGAACCAUAGAUGUAAAAUGGGUCCAUAAGCUGAAGCUCAUACCAAAUGGUGAGAUAGCCAAGUAUAAGGUAAGGCUAGUAGCAAAGAGGUUUCUUCAAAGGUCAGGAAUUGAUUUUAGUGAGGUCUAUGCACCAUUUUCCAGACUUGAAACUAUAAAAGUUGUGGUGGCCAUUGCAACAUCCAAAAGGUGUAAGAUACAUCAAUUGGAUGUAAAGUCAUCUUUUCUAAAUGGGCCAUUAGAGAAUGGUGUAUAUAUAAAACAACCAAUUGGUUUGAGAUCAAAGGAAAAUAAGAAAAAUUGUAUAUGAUGAUAAAAGUACUAUAUGAAGUGAUAACUUUUACAUGAAUUUAGGAUUCAACAAAUGCACAUUAGAACCUGGAAUAUAUGCGAAAGGCUCAAGUGAAUAAGAUCAAAUAAUUCUAUGCAUAUAUGUGGAUGAUAUCUUGAUAAAAUUAUCAAAUUAAAUUGAAGUUUCAAAGUUCAAGACUAACAUGGAGAAUGAAUUUGAGAUGUCAUAACUAGGAAACAUGGCUUAUUUUCUAGGUAUGGAGUUUGUAAACAUAAAAUAUUGAUUUUUCUUGUACCUAAAGAAAUAUGUAGAAGAUAUCUUGGAGAAAUUCAACAUGAACAAUUCUAACCCUGCAAUUAGUCUUAUGGAAGAGGCUCUUUGGUUUCUCAUCAAAAUAUUUAAGUUAUAUCUUCCUUUGGUUAACUUUGCAAGUGUUUUUAGAAGAUCACAAGUUUCAUUUUUUAAGGUAUUACAUUCAUUUCACAUGUCAGAUUCAUUUUUUUUUAUAAAAGUGGAAGAGUUUUGGACUUGAUCAUUUUGUAUUUCUCUAAGAUUUUCUAUUUAUUUUUCAAGGAUUUUAAUUUUAGAUUCAAGAGAAGAAAUAAUAUCCUAGGAUAUAGAGACAAUUUCUUCCAAUUUACUUGUUUCUUUUGUUAUCUUCUUACAAAUGUGGAAAAAAGUUGAUAAGAAAAGUAAGAGGUUAUCUUAUCAUCUUGAUGAUUUUCCAUGAGACAAAUGUUGGCUUCUUCUUCGUCAUCUGAAGAUUCCAUAUCUUUAUCCUUCCAUGCAAUGUAAGGUUUCUUGCCCUUCUUAUAAGUUUCUUAUAUUUCUUCUGAUUUUGAUUUUCCUUUUAAGAAAACAUAAAGUUUGAUCUGGUGUAUCCUUUAUUUUCACAUAGGUAACAUGUGGGAUCGAAUGAAGCUUUAUCCUCAUCUUUUUCCUGUUUCUCUUUUUGUUAUUUCUCAUGCCCUAUGCAGGACCGACCCAAUCAUAUCGGAGGCCCCGUUCUAAUUAAAAAAAUGGGCUCAAUUUUUUUUAAAAAUAUAAUUAUAAUAAUUAAAAAAAUAUAUAUCAAAAAUACAAUUAUGUAUUAAUUAAAAAUAAAUUUAAUUAUAAUUAUUUUGAGUUCUGAUCAAUCUUGAUUUUUAUAUGUAUUGAGUUUUUAUCAUAAUAUUUCUUUCAAUUAUUGAGUUUUUUUAAUAACAUUUUAUUUAUUUUUAUUAAUAUUUAUAAAAAAAAUGAAAAUUUUAAAAGUUGGGGCCCUCUAAUAUUUGGGGCCCUGUGUUGCAGCACAUGCUACACUUGCACAGGGCCGGCCCUGGCCUUAUGAGUCUUUUAAAGUUUUCGACUAUAAGGGACAUGUCACCAUGAGAGUCAGAAUCUUCCACUUUGAGCACUAGGCUAUUGUUUUCUUUUCUCCUUCCUCAUAUAUGAAUGGACUAUUUAGUUCAAUCUCGAGUUCCUUCAAUUGACGAAAAAAAAGGUGUGUGUGUUCAUAAUUGCUAAAUCCCUAGAUUCACAAAUCAUAACGAAUUUAGGUUGCCAACUAUUGUUUAAGUACCUAAACAAUUUCACAACUAAUUCCUCAUUUGAAAAUAUUUUUUAUAGAGUUCUCAAAUGACUCAGGAUAUGCAUAAACCGUGUUUGCAUCUUAUUAAUGUUUUGUUCAUGUUUUAUCAUUAAAAGUUCAUACUCCUAAAUUAAUAUGCCAAACCUUGUCCACUUUAACUAAAUAGUCCCUUCGUGGUUACUUUAGAGGAUGUUCACAUUUUUUUUAGUCUUGCAGUGAGAAACUUACAAAAAUUCAUCAAGACCAAGAGUGGUAGUGAUGACAAUUUUUGUUUUCAAAAUGCGCUGCACAUUUUCUUUAUCAUCUUUGGUCCAAUCCUUUUUUCAAGUUUGUUCACUACAACACUAUCAACAUCGUGUGUAUGAACACUACCACAAUCCAUCCCUUUUAUCCCCCUAUCCUAAAAAAAUAGUUUUCAUAAGCUGAACACAAAAAUUGAGUGGAUAUUUUAUAUAACUUUUCCAAUCUGAGUUUUAUAACCGAGCAAUAGUGGCACAACACUAAUAUAACUCUUUCCUCACAAGAAAAUUUCAUUCAUAAGGCACUAAGGAAACUUCGGUGAAAAAGAAUAUAUAUAUAUAUAUAUAGAGAGAGAGAGAGAGAGAGAGAGAGAGAGAAGAGAAGAGAUAAAUUAUAGAAAAUUAGGAAAAUCCCAAAUUCUAGUGUGAAAUUAAGUGAGGAGAAACCUCCUUUAUAUAGGAAAAAAAUUGGAUUUAUAUGGAAAUAAUCCAUGUGCCUUUUAAAUGACCUAAUCAAUUAGAUAUUUGAAAUAAUAGAUCAAUUUAUGCUGAAAAAAGAAAGUUUUAAUAUAUAGUCAUUACUAAUUAUAUUUUCCAAAAAAUUACAGGGUGUGCGUGGUCCCCCUGCAAGGACAUGGAGAAUUUGAGGCCCUAAUAGGUAUAAUAUAGUUUUGAGGGGCGAGGGCUAGCUCACGAAGGUGACUAGCCUUGUACCAUGGUUUUUGAGGUUGUUUGAAGGACCAAAUCACAUGAGGUGAAAUGUCGUGUUGGUUGUCGACACUGUUGGGUGCAGGCGGGUGGUUGAAUUGACGAUGUUAGGACUACUCGGAGCGUAGCACCGUCCAAGCAAUAAUGGAUAUGUAUGCCUUGAUCUUCUCUAUCCCCUUGAGGGAUAGUGUAUUUAUAGGGUCCUCGAUAUCUAGGGUGUUUGCAUCCUGAACAUGGUCUUAACUGCUCCUCGCUUACUAGGAAGUUAUUGACUGCCGAUAUUCUUGAAGUCAGUGAGGAAUCUCUCUCAUGUGUCCCCUAUGUAUGUUGGACCUCCUAAGAGAAUCCCUUAAAUUCCUUUUGGGUGGUCCAUCUGCUGGGCGAGAUCGUCCUAGUAUAUGACUUCAUAAAUAUAACAUUACACAGUCUCUUAAGCACAAGGGAUUUUCGUUAAAGGGAGAAGUGUUUAAUAUUUGAGAUGGGUAAUAAUAUAUUUUUACUCUUUUGUUUAUUAUUUGUGAUUAUUAAUAUAGUUAUUAAGAUGAAAUUUUCAGAUGAGUAAUUCAGAGAGGAAUUACAAUGUUGGCCUCAUAUUGGCGAAAUUAUGAUUUAGAGAGAAAUCUUGAGUAUGAGUUUUGAGUAUAUUUUCUGUUGUUUUGAGUUUAUUGAAUUCUGUUGUCAUGUUCAUGCAUACAUGUAUAUUGGAGUUAGGUAAGACUUAGGUCCGGUGAGGUCAGGAUCAGAGAGGAACCAUGACAAUCUCAAAUUCAUAGAGGAACACGAUUCAAAGAGGAACCAAAGACAUGGAUAAAUUAGUAACACACCUAUGAUACCAUAUUGGAGGAGAAGUAUACUGCAUUAUGCAUUUUUAUUAUAGUUAUUGUUGUUGUUGUGAACUUUAUGUGGGAAUGAUGAUAGAUGUUGUUAUGACUAACUUGCUAUUUAAUUUUAUUGUUAACAUCUGUAAAGUUAUUCUCACCCCAUUUUAUUUAUUUGUGGUGUUUUGUACUCUCUUGGGGUACAAAUAAUCAGGUAAAGUAGUAACUGCUUUAAGCUGGAGGAUGGCGUGAAGGCCUCUUCGUUUACUUGUUGUUUUCUAAUUCUUUUGUUUAGUACCUUUUGUCGCUCUGAUAAUGUAACAUAUGGGGUAUGGCCGUUGUUUCCUUUUAUUUUUCUAAUUAUUGAGUUGAGAUCAAACUGAUAUUUUAUUUGAGUAAUUUUUUUUGAGAUCAUGAGAAGGUAUUGUUAUAUGUUUUAUAAUUCUGCUGCAAUAUGUUUAAAUGGAUGAAAGAUGUUUUAUUUUAAGAAUACGUGACACCCUUUGGUGACAAAUACUCUAAUUUAUUUUAUAAAUUACGCGCCAGGUUUAGGGUGUUACAAAAGGGGUCUUGUUGAACUGGGGAAACAUAAUCUGUUGGGUGGUGACAAAGUCCAAAAGCUUGAAUUUUGUGAACCUUGUGUGUUUGAUAAAUCCUGCAGAGUGAAGUUUAACAAAGGAAAACAAAGAACACAUGAAUCCCUUUGUUACAUUCAUGCGGAUCUUUGGGGUCUAGAAGGAGUCUUUCACACUCAGGUGCAAAGUAUUUUCUAUCCAUAGUUGAUGAUUAUUCCAGAAAGUUAUGGGUAUUCAUUCAGAAGACUAAGGAUGAAAAUUUUGAAAAUUUCAAAAGUUGAAAGACUCUGGUCAAAAAUUAGAUUGGCAAGAAGGUCAAGUGGUUGCGAACCUAUAAUGGCCUUGAGUUAUGCAAUAAAGCUUUCGAUAGUUACUGUAGUAUGUAUACUAUUGCAAGGCACAAGACUACUGCGGGUACUCCUCGGUAAAAUGGCUUGGCUGAGAGAUUCAAUCGAACAAUCCUAGACAGGGUUAGAUGCAUGUUGGUUAGUGUAAGAUUGAAGAAGGUGUUUUGCGCUGAGUCUGCAGUGACUACAACAUACCUGAUAAAUAGGAGCCCCUCGAUUGCCUUGGGAAUGAAGACACCUAAAGAAGACUGGUCGAGACUUCUACCUAAUCUCGACAGACUUAGAGUAUUUGGCUAUUUAGAAUAUGCUCACAUUAGGCAAGACAAGGUUAAACCUAGAGCUAUGAGAUGUAUGUUUCUUGAAUACCCUGAAGAAGUCAAAUCUUAUAGGUUGUGGUGCAUAAAGUUAAGUAACAAGAGAUGCAUCACAAGUCGAGAUGUAGUUUUCAGUGAAUCAGAAAUGGCGUUCAACAAAACUGAUGAUUUUGGUCGAAAUACGAAGAUCUUUGUACAUGAGUUGGAACAUGAAGAGAUUCUUAUUGAGGUAGAGCGUAUUGAUGCUGAAUUGCACAACUCAAAUGAAGUUGAAUAAGAAGCAUAAGUUGCUGAUGAAGAUAAGGAGAAUGAUAAUUACUAUCUGAUGGUAAGAGACAGGUCUACUAGAGUCAUCAAGCCACCUCAGAGACUUGAUUAUGCAUAUCUCAUAACUUUUGCCUUAAUCUAUGCAAGUGAGGUUCUUGAUGAAGAACCUAGAUACUACAAGGAAGCUAUAAGGAGUCAAAACAAGACUAAAUGGAUGAAAUCCAUGGAUAAUGAUAUGAAAUCUCUUCAUGAUAACCAUACUUAGGAGCUGAUCGAGAAACCUGCUGGAGCCAGGUUAGUCAGUUUUAAGUGGAUUUUCAAGGUUAAGAAAGGAAUUGAAAGAGUGAUGUUGAAGAGAUUUAAGGAAAGGUUGGUUGCUAGGGGGUUCACUCGGAAAGAAGGAGUCGAAUUCAAUAAUGUGUUCUCUCCUGUUGUAAAGCAUAUAUCCAUUAGAAUGUUGUUACCCAUGGUGGAAAAGUUUGACCUAGAACUUGAACAAAUGGAUGUGAAGACCUCCUUAUUGUAUAGUGAUUUAGAUGAAACAAUCCUGAUGAGGCAAACUGAAGGGUUUGCAGAAAAAGGAAAUGAAGAUUAUGUGUGCAACCUGAAUAGGUCUUUAUACGGCCUGAAACAAUCUCCUCAUCAAUGGAAUAGGAGAUUCGACAAGUUCAUGACACACAUAGCUUUCACUAGGAGCUAGUUAGACCAUUGUGUUUACUUCAAAUUUUGAUCUGGAAACCCAUUUAUUACUUUGUUUCUUUAUGUGGAUGACAUCCUCAUACAAAAAAACCAUGGAGAGGAUGUUAUGAAGGUGAAGGCUGAAAUCGAUAAGGAGUUUGACAUGAAGGAUAUGGGAGUUACCACCAGGAUUCUUGGGAUUGGCAUUCGAAGAGAUACAAAAUAGUCGAGAUUAUGCUUAUCUCAAGAGACAUACUUGAAGAAGAUUCUCGAUAAAUUUGGUAUGUCGAAUUCAAAUCCUAUUGUAACACCGACAAAUCCUCAAUUCAAGCUGAGUACGACUCAAAGUCCUAGUAUUGAGGUUGAAAGAGUCUAUAUGAAUAACACUCCAUAUCCUAGUAUUGUAGGUUCUUUGAUGUGUGUUAUGGUUUGUACGAGAACAGGCAUAACGAAUGGAGUGAGCCUUGUAAGCGGGUAUAUGAUCAAUCCUGGGAAGGCACACUAGAAAGCUUUAAAGUGGAUUCUAAGAUACAUAAAAGGAUCCCUGAGUAGGGUCUUGAUUUAUGAUGGAGCCAUGAGUGAUGGUGAAGCCGAAGUCAGAGGACUUGUUGACUCUGACUAUGCAGGAUGUAUGGAUACCAAAAAGUCUCUUUCUGGAUAUGUUUUCACUAUGUUUGGUACAACAAUCAGUUGGAAAGUUUCUCUUCAGAAGUUCGUUGCCUUAUCAACCAUUGAAGCUAAAUAUAUUGCCAUCAUUAAAGUUAUGAAAGAAGCAUUAUGACUUGAAAGGAUUGUUAAGGAACCAGAACUUCAAGGUCAAGCUAUCACUGUUAAAUAUGAUAGUCAAAGUGUCAUACAUAUGUCGAAGAAUUCAGCCUAUCAUGAGAGAAGAAAGAACAUUGAUGUUAGGUUGCAUUUCGCCAGGGAGAAAAUUGAAAGUGGAGAAGUCAAAGUGAUGAAGGUUUCAAUAGAUCAUAAUGAUGCAUAUAUGAUCACCAAGUCAUUUCCAAGUAGCAAGGUAUUUCACUGUAUGUAGUUGUUAAAGCUGCAUGAUGAAAUCUAGUUUGUUCCCUUAAUGUUGUAAAGUUUGUUCUAAGAUGGGGAUUUGUAGUAUUUUGGAUCGAACUCUAGUCUCGAUAGGGAUAACUUCAUGUUUUGACAGGAGUUAUGCAUGCUGUAGUCGAAGUCUGUUCAAGCAUGCAGAAGUCGAAGAUGUGCAUGUUGUAGUCGAAGCUUGUUCUAGCAUGUAGUUGUAUAAGUUAGCUUGCUAGUUAAUCUAUCUUAGUGCUUAAGUAGCUUGUUGGUUAAGCUAGCCUGUAGUCUAUAAAUAGAAUGCUCCCUCAGAUUGUUGAGAGAGGGUUAAGUUUGAUUGAUAUUUGCUUGUAAAAAAAUUGUGAAAAUAAAUAGUAAAACGGUUUUAACUAAUUCUUAUUCUUGUUCUUCUCUCUUCUCUCUCUAUCGUAAAUCGAAAAAGGAUUUCUUGUGUUUGUUUAAGAAAUUCAAUAUUUCUCAUAAUUGUAUUCGUUACUAGUGCAGUAUUUGUUACAACAACAACAACAACAAUAAUAAUAAUAAUAAUAAUAAUAAUAAUAAUUAUUAUUAUUAUUAUUAAUAAAAAUACUCCUUUCUAUCUUAGAAAAAUUGUAUUCGUUACUAGUGCAGUAUUUGUUACAACAACAACAACAACAAUAAUAAUAAUAAUAAUAAUAAUAAUAAUAAUUAUUAUUAUUAUUAUUAAUAAAAAUACUCCUUUCUAUCUUAGAAGGUUGAAAAUAUAGUUUUAAAAUAUUAAAUUUUAAUGAUUAGCAAUUUUUUUAUAUUACCAUUUUAAUAAACAUAUUAAAGAAAAAAAAUACAACACAUUAAUCUGCUUAAAGGAUACAAAUAUUUUAUUGUUUCCAACACAACCUUCUCUUUAUCUACAAUAAAUGAGUCAAAUAAUAUUCUAUUAUUAUAUGUAAAGAGAAAAAAAUAUGACUAAAACUCUCAAGUUUGUGUAUGUCAUGAUUUUAUUUUUAUUUUUAGUUGCAAGGAAUGAUGGAGCCGGUAAUUUAUUUUCUCAUCAUUUUCAAUUUUUCUUCUAUAAACUUUAUCUUUUAUAUUAUGUUAGUAACAUUAUUUUACCAUUUUUUUUUCAUUACAGAAUCACGACUAAUUAUUUGUAAAACAGAUGUCGAUUGUCUAGAUAGAUCCGAGUUUCACAAGUAUAUAUGCAUUAGAAAAAGAUGUAGAAUUUUUUUAGUGCCAUUCUAGGAUAAAAUAAACUUAACAAAAAAAAACUUCUAAUUAAAUUAAAAUUUCUAUACUAAAAUCAAUCAACAAGAUUAUCAAGAAUAUCAAGAGUACGCAAUAUCUGAAACAUUUUUUUUCAUAUGAAAUAUGCAUAUGUGUUGCGAAAGAAGGAGCAUCAGAAAUAUCAAGAAUUAAAUCUUAUAUUUAUUACUAGAAGAAUGUCUUUUCUUUGAAGAAUACUUGACCAUCUAUUGUCAAAAUGAUUAAUGAGAUAAAAUACUUGUUUUUCUUUGGAUUCUAUGAUGAAUGAUUCUUUCAUAUAAGUUUAUUUGCGAAGGUCAACUUGUGGGAAUUCUAACUAUUUGGUUUGUACAUUAGUGUUAUUGUUAGUCCAUUUGCAUUUAAAUAAAGAAACAUUGAAUACAACAUAAUCAAUCUUCUAAAUCUCCUCAAUAAUCCUAAAGUACGUUCUGGAUACAACAUAAUCAAUCUUCUAAAUCUCCUCAAUAAUCCUAAAGUACGUUCUGGAUGCCAUAAAAAAUUAUUUUCCUUUGAAUUAGAGAAGUACAUGAACUCUAUCUCAACCAUAACCCCACUAUUUUGCACUAUAUUACAAUUAUCCUUUGAUUUUGUAUAAAAAGAUAUGGCAACCCAAAAAGAAAAUUGUAAAUAUAAAAAAUUUAAAGAAAAACAACACAUUGUGGUGUUUCGUUUUCAAUUUUUUAUCAUUCAUUAUUUUUUUAUAAUAUAAGCCAUUUGUUGCCAGGGUUGCUAAAACUCAUCGAGGGAAAAAAUAGCUUAAAAAUAAAUAAAAAAUAAAACUAAUGAUGUUAUAAUUUGAAGUGUGUCCGUGAGAGACAUUUCCUCGUGGUUGUUAAAGAUGAUUGAAAAAAAAUUGAAUUAAAAAAAAACGUCACUUUUAUAAUGAAUAAAACAAAAAAUUGAUGGUGUUGCGAAUUGAAAUGUAUCCCUGAAAAAAUCUAUGAUUGAUUAAAUUGAUUGAGGGUGAAAGAGACUUAAAAAUUAAUAUCAAAGAGUAUCGCCUAAAGAUUUUUCUUUUAUUUCAAUGCAUUAAUUGAUCCAAAAAGUUCGUCAAAAAAAUGUAUAAUUCAUUAUUGUGAAUAAAAUCCCCCCUUAUCUUAUAAAAUAUCAAGAAGUAUGAAAUUUAAAAUAUCAAGAAAUCUCAAAAACAUCUAUAGAAAUAAUUUUUUUUGGAAGUGCACACAUUUUUCGAAUACAAUCAUCCCAAAUGCAAUUGGAUAAAGUGCUUCAUCAAACAAAACUAAUAUUAUGAAAAGAUGCAUUAACAAGACCAUCCGAACAAAAAUUCCCUUUUCAAAAGAUAUGUGACACUUUAAAACAAAAACUUAUAAUUAGAUUGAGAUAGCUGGAUCAACAAUUUUGAAGGAUCCAAAGCAUAUUUUUAGGAUUAGAAAAAACUUGAAACACUAACUGAAAAUAACUUUUAUGUCAUAAUUUAAGCUAAUCGUUAGCAUAAACUAUUUCUACCGCUAACAUGACAAUAAUCAGUUAUGCAUUGCAUUUUCAAAAUUAUUGAUACCAAGUGGUCGAGAAAAAGCAUCUAAAAAUACUUUUAACUUGUUCAAGACCCCUCAUUAAGCAUUGUAUUUGAUGACAUGAUUGGCGACUAAUUCCCAUUAAAAUAAUAGUUUUAAUCAACUACAACAACAAUCCUUAGUUUUUCUUUUAGUCAAGCAUGCGAAUUUCUAAACUGUACUUCAUUUUGGAUUUUCUCAAAAUCUUAAAUUUUUUUUUCCUCCCAUAAUCUUAAUUUCUCUUUUCUUCUCCAAUUUAUUUUUCUUUUCUUUUUGCAAUCAAGGUGUGGUUGAUUCACAGUUUUUCAUAAGUUUGAUGAACUUUCAACAUCAAAAAUUUGACAAAAUUCCAACAAUUGUCCUGCCCUUAAGAAUACUUUCCUUGUACUGCAAGACGCACUCCUUAAUGUCUUUAUCCAGGUUCUUCUGGGCAUGAUGUAGUCAUCAUCAAAAUACUUUUGUGAUGCAAUACCAUAAAACAUGGCACACAAUGACCCAAGUUUCUUGCCACAAACUCUCCUCCUACUAGUUAUUGUUAAAGUUACUGACUACUACAAAUAACAUAUGUAAUGUCGAAAAUGAAAUGAAUUUCACCUCAGUUACAAUGUCGAGGUAACGAAGGAUGACAUGAAAAAUGAGAACUUUACCCCUUGACUUAAAAAUAGCCGAGAGAUAAUUUAAAUGGUCAUGGAUUCGAAACCCAACAAUAUAUUUUUUAUAUUUUUCAAACUAGCAUCAUAUACCUCUCGGUUUAAUAACAAAACCGAGAAUAUAUAUAUAUAUAUAUAUAUAUAUAUUUAAUAUAUAUAUAUAAUAUAUAUAUAUAUAUAUAUAUAUAUAUAUAUAUAUAUAUAUAUAUAUAUAUAUAUAUAUAUAUAUAUAUUAUAUAUAUAUCAUUACAUUGUUUACACAUAAUAUUAAUAAAAUAAUUUGCUUACAAACUAUAUUGUUUACACAGAAUAUUAAAGUAAAAAUAUUAUUCUUUAUCGUCAUCGUUGUCGGUGAAGAAUAAAUGAUGGAUAUAUUUAAAAAAAACAAAUAUUAGGGAUCCUCGUUUCAUUGAUCUAAAGGAAAAUCAAAUACCAAAUGCAAUAUAUUUUCUAUGACUUUCGCAUUAAUUUGUUUCUGAUAUAAAACAAAAAAAAAGGUUAAAUAAAUAAAAUAAAUAUUCAUUUAAGAGAUUAGGUAAGAAUACAAACCUUGAACCAAUUUUUUCCGGUACUUGCAAUCUAUCACAUAAAUCUUUGGCAAAGUAAAUACAUCUCACCAACCACAUAUUAAAUAAACCUAAAUUUUUUCUGCUCUUGCGCAAUCUAUCACAUUGAUACUUUUACUUUGUAAAAUCUCAUGACACUCUGAUUAAACAUAAAGGGUUUCACAACAACCUUUAGGUUUCUUGUGAUUCACUACUAUCAAAUUUUAAUAUUCAGAAUACUUUUAUAAUGAGGAUUGUAGGUUUCACAAAGAUCACUAAUGACAGUGUCUUGAGCGUUGAUACUUAUUAAAUAGAGGAUCAAGAUUUGUUUAAGGACAGUGAAAAAAUUGAAAAACACGUUAAUAUUUUAUCUCGGUUAUUACUCAAAAUCGGGGUAAAUGUGUUUCUUUUUAAAUAAAAAACAAUAAAAUACGUUCCGACCCAAACGUCACAUACUUCUCGGUUUUUGUUAAAAAUCGAGGGGACACAGUUUUUUUUAUAUUUAUAUUGUUUACACAGAAUAUUAAAAUAAACUAUUUAAACAAAUCAAGAGUUUGACUAUGGAUUUUUGGAGAACAACUCAUCUUUUCAAAUUUCUGAUAAGUUAUCUGUUUUAAAUAAAUGACAUUUUUUUCUAUACUUUCAAUCCAUCAUAGAGAGAUUUCAUUAUGUUAAGCAAAUGUUUGCAUGACAAAUGCUUUUACAUGAAAUAGAAAUUGAUUAUGGUGUUUAUGAAUAAAUUUUUCAAUGUUUUCAACUGAAGAAAAUAAUAACUUUUUUAAUAUUUUCUUUGAUUGACAACAUAGGAAGGUUAUUACAUAAAUACAACAACAUCAAUAUCAUUAUGUGAGAUAGAUUGCAAAAUAUUUUAUUCCGUACCAAAGAAUGAUGCAUAAAGACUUUGGAGCGGUUACAUAUAAGUUAAGUUUAUGAUAAAAUUUGAUUAAUGAGUGCUUUUAUAAUAAAUAUGAAAAUUUAAUCUCUCCGUUAUUAAAUAUAACCGAAGAAAUAAAUAAUUAAUUUAAAAAUAAAAAUAAAAAUAAAAAGAAAGACACUAUUUUAAAAAAAAAUGUUGAGGAUAGGAUUCUAAACAUGUUAUAAAAUACUUUUCCUUUUUAAUUUUAUUUUAAAAUCGAUGUAAUAUAUGAUAUUUAUUAAAAAAAUAUAUAAAAUAUGUCAUGUACUGAUCCUUUACCUUAAUUUUUUUAUUUAUAGGAGUGAUUUCUCAUUAUUUGAUUUGAGUUGAAGAAAAGUUUUCAAUUGUUAGCAUGAACCAACUCUUUUCGAGAUGUGUGGAACACGUUAAUAUUUUAUUUUGUGUAUGACUAUAUUGACACGUUAGUUUUUGCGUUAUUAAUGAUAAUAAUAAUAAUAAUAAUUAUUAUUAUUAUUAAACAUACCCCUUUCUAUCUUCAAAGAUAGUUUUAAAAUAUUAAAUUCUAAUUAUUUACAAUUUUUUUACUAUUUUAACAAAUAUGUUAAAUAAAUAAAAUACAUCACAUUGAUCUGCUUAAGAGACAAAAAAAAUAAAAUAGAAAUGAAAUCUUAAAACUCCCUAAGAGAUACCAAUAUUUUAUAUUUGUAGCAUAACCUUCUAUUUAAAUUUAAACAUUAUAAAAGAGUCGAAUAAUGUUCUAUUUAUUUAUUGUAUGUAAGAGAAAAAAAUAUGGGUAAAACUCUCAUGUUUGUGUAUGUUGUGGUUUUAUUUCUAUUUCUAUUUUUUGUUGCAAGGAAUGAUGGUGGCUCACGUAAUUUAUUUUCUCAUCAUUUUCAAAUUUUCUUCUAUAAACUUGUAUCUUUUAUAUAUCAUGUUAGUAAUAACAUUAUUUUACUAUGUCUUUUUUUUACAGCACGACGAUUUAUUCCUUGUAAAACACGUGCUGAUUGUCCAGAUAGUUCUGAGUUUCAAAAGUAUAUGUGCAUUGAAAGCCUAUGUAAACUUAUUAGAUUGAAGUGAAUCACUCUAGUAUAAAAUAAACUUGAUGAAAUAAAAAAGUUUCUAGUUAAAUUAAAAUUGCCUUGUUAAAAUCAAUUAACAAUUUAUGUCAACAAUGCCAAAUCAAUUGAAAAAUAAGUCAGAUAAGUAGGAAUAUUUACCGCAUACCCCACCUUGUUCCUAUAUUUUUAUAUUUUAUAAAAAAAACAUCAACUUCGUCUUUAUAUAUUUUAAAUUAAUUCAUA